GGCUUCAUAGUUCAGUUGGUAGAGCAUCGCACUGGUAAUGCGCAGGUCACGGGUUCAAAUGCAGUUGAAGCCA